GAUGAACGCUGGCGGCGUGCCUAAUACAUGCAAGUCGAGCGAACGGACGAGAAGCUUGCUUCUCUGAUGUUAGCGGCGGACGGGUGAGUAACACGUGGAUAACCUACCUAUAAGACUGGGAUAACUUCGGGAAACCGGAGCUAAUACCGGAUAAUAUUUUGAACCGCAUGGUUCAAAAGUGAAAGACGGUCUUGCUGUCACUUAUAGAUGGAUCCGCGCUGCAUUAGCUAGUUGGUAAGGUAACGGCUUACCAAGGCAACGAUGCAUAGCCGACCUGAGAGGGUGAUCGGCCACACUGGAACUGAGACACGGUCCAGACUCUUACGGGAGGCAGCAGUAGGGAAUCUUCCGCAAUGGGCGAAAGCCUGACGGAGCAACGCCGCGUGAGUGAUGAAGGUCUUCGGAUCGUAAAACUCUGUUAUUAGGGAAGAACAUAUGUGUAAGUAACUGUGCACAUCUUGACGGUACCUAAUCAGAAAGCCACGGCUAACUACGUGCCAGCAGCCGCGGUAAUACGUAGGUGGCAAGCGUUAUCCGGAAUUAUUGGGCGUAAAGCGCGCGUAGGCGGUUUUUUAAGUCUGAUGUGAAAGCCCACGGCUCAACCGUGGAGGGUCAUUGGAAACUGGAAAACUUGAGUGCAGAAGAGGAAAGUGGAAUUCCAUGUGUAGCGGUGAAAUGCGCAGAGAUAUGGAGGAACACCAGUGGCGAAGGCGACUUUCUGGUCUGUAACUGACGCUGAUGUGCGAAAGCGUGGGGAUCAAACAGGAUUAGAUACCCUGGUAGUCCACGCCGUAAACGAUGAGUGCUAAGUGUUAGGGGGUUUCCGCCCCUUAGUGCUGCAGCUAACGCAUUAAGCACUCCGCCUGGGGAGUACGACCGCAAGGUUGAAACUCAAAGGAAUUGACGGGGACCCGCACAAGCGGUGGAGCAUGUGGUUUAAUUCGAAGCAACGCGAAGAACCUUACCAAAUCUUGACAUCCUUUGACAACUCUAGAGAUAGAGCUUUCCCCUUCGGGGGACAAAGUGACAGGUGGUGCAUGGUUGUCGUCAGCUCGUGUCGUGAGAUGUUGGGUUAAGUCCCGCAACGAGCGCAACCCUUAAGCUUAGUUGCCAUCAUUAAGUUGGGCACUCUAAGUUGACUGCCGGUGACAAACCGGAGGAAGGUGGGGAUGACGUCAAAUCAUCAUGCCCCUUAUGAUUUGGGCUACACACGUGCUACAAUGGACAAUACAAAGGGCAGCGAAACCGCGAGGUCAAGCAAAUCCCAUAAAGUUGUUCUCAGUUCGGAUUGUAGUCUGCAACUCGACUACAUGAAGCUGGAAUCGCUAGUAAUCGUAGAUCAGCAUGCUACGGUGAAUACGUUCCCGGGUCU
rnacentral:rRNA from 1 species